UCUUGGGAGCUCACAGCUGACUCCUGCUAGGAGGUGGGAUCUGGUUGGGAGAGGUGGCUCACUGCAGCUGAGGCCUGGAACGAACAUCUCCCUUCCCAGCUCCUCGCUUCACUCCUGCUGCUUUGUGGCCGCCAUGACUCGAGCAGCUUUGCCAGCCAGGCCCUUCCAGCGCCUUCCUGCCUGGGAGCUGGCCAACCGCGGACUAACAGCCUGAGCCAAACAGUGACACCAACUCCUCCAGGGAUCCUUUUCCCUGAGGUGUACCUGCAGUGACAGCUGUCCCUGGAGGGAACCACGGGUGGAACCAUUUGCCUGUGUGGUACAGGGUCCGCCAGGCCAACCCUCUGGACCCCGCUGCAUCCCGGCCUGCGCUGCCCCCUACCGC